UUUAACUGAAGAGUUUGAUCAUGGCUCAGAUUGAACGCUGGCGGCAGGCUUAACACAUGCAAGUCGAGCGGAGAGAAGUAGCUUGCUACUGAUCUUAGCGGCGGACGGGUGAGUAAUACUUAGGAAUCUGGCUAUUAGUGGGGGACAACAUUUCGAAAGGGAUGCUAAUACCGCAUACGUCCUACGGGAGAAAGCAGGGGAUCAGUAAUGACCUUGCGCUAAUAGAUGAGCCUAAGUCGGAUUAGCUAGUUGGUGGGGUAAAGGCCUACCAAGGCGACGAUCUGUAGCGGGUCUGAGAGGAUGAUCCGCCACACUGGGACUGAGACACGGCCCAGA
rnacentral:rRNA from 1 species